rnacentral:lncRNA from 1 species
GAAGCGAGAACCUGAAAUCAUACAGCUGAACCAAACUCUUCCAGGCCAUUUCAAACGUAUAGGACCAAGGAACGAAGAACCAUCUUGGUUGGUAUAAUGUGAAUAUGCUCGUCAAAAAAUCCCGUUUCACGUCAAUUCACUUCAAAUUCGAUUGCCAAUGAAGAUCAAGCAUUCCGCUUGACUGAACUCAUAAAAAGUAAUCAGGGGCUGCCUUUUUCGCAGGUGCUCCUCUUGAUUCCUGCAUGUCACAUUUGUGUAUUAGUGCCUCCAUGGAUUCAGGUACACGGGUCUAACUCGUCAACUGAAACUAAUACUUUCCCUCCUUGUUUACAAACCUGAGGGGCAGCAUCAAACACACGAAAUUGUUUGUUGAGGUUCUCAUCCAGCUCAAG